AUGCAUUAUUUUGUAGCCAAGUCCAACAGAACUUGCUCCAGUGGCAUGCCAAGUGCUCAUACAAGUCUAUUUAUACGCGAGCCAACAGAUAUGACAAGUUCAAGUCACUCGUCUUUGGACGAUGAAGUGACAAACGAAUCAUCUACGAUUUUCCCUUCUAAUGGCAUGCUCAUAUCAACUGAGGGCUUGGAGUGCGGAGAAAGCUCAAAAGGGCGAAAGCGUGCACGUGAAGCAAUAAGAUAUGCUAGCCGUACACCAGAACAAAUCCAAGCAAGGCGAGAACGUGUUAGAGCACGUCGGCAAAAUUUAACACCUGCUGAGAAGAAAAAGAUUAAUGCACAAAGAAGAGAAAAAAGACAACGAAUGGCACAUGAUGAGAGGAAUGCAAGCCAACGACCAUGUAGGCAAAGUUUGACAUUAGAUGAGAGAUGGAUGAUGUGA
rnacentral:rRNA from 1 species